AGAUAUACGAUGUAUGUAUGACAGCAAGUGAACCACAUAUACAAAAAAAAUCUGAAUUCUCAAAGCAUCAACACACAUCCUCUCCCUUUCUCCUUUUUUUUUUUUUUAAUUUUUUGGUUCUUUUCGUCAUGUCAUUAUUAAUGAUCCAAUCUCGUGAAAUA
rnacentral:ribozyme from 16 species